rnacentral:rRNA from 1 species
AUGGCGGCGAAGAAGCGUCAGGAGAAAAUUGGCAAGCAAAAAACAUCACCGAAGGUACCACGUGGUGAGAGGAAUGCUCUACUAGAUCGGCGUAAUGAAAGGUUUGCAGGUAGGGUGAAGACCCCAACCGUCAGGUCCAUCUCCAUACCGGAAAUGAGCUCAAGUGGACAACCUACCGUAUUGGAAGCACACGGUGCCUCGACCUCAUCUAGCACACCGGAGUACACGAUCAAAAGUGAAGGUAACACUCCCAUCCUUACUCUCCUUGCGUCCCUUGAGACUGAACCCUCAUUUAUUGGUUUCUCACCUGAGCAGACGACAUGGACGCUUACCUUAGUCGUCUCAUGA